rnacentral:lncRNA from 1 species
UUGGAUCAACACCCUACAAUAAAACGCAUAUAAUCAGAACCACAAGUAGGAUGAAUCAAAGAAGUACAAUUAAAAGAUGACUCACUCUGCUUCUAACUCUCUUUAAAAAACCAACUCCACCAUCACGGAGUUUGCCCUCCGGUGUAGAUAAACUCCUCCAUUGAUGCAGCGUCAAAGGCCAUUUUCUUUUCCGGCGAGACCACGGGGACUUCCGCCGGCUUCUAACACAAGAAAGGAAACCAAGUCAAGCGUCGUUAAGCUAAAAUCAAUCAAUCAAUCAAUCUAACAGCAAAAGUAAAGGAACAAUCCGAACAAAUUAAAGAAACCUUUUUGAUCCAAUCUAUAGAGACUUAAGAUCACAUCUAAAUAAUCCAAAUCUGAAGAGGUA